AACUCUCAACUCCUAAUGGUUUUAUUAUUGUUAGUGAUGUUGGAUGUGAACGUUUUGCUGGCUUCGGUCGGCUCGUUCGAAAUGAAUUAGCUGGAUCCCUCUUUAACUUGGUUCCACUCGGCGUGAUAAGUAUCUUCGUCGAGGACAGUUUCUUUUAAUUAAGAGGCUGGCCAGGAUGGAUUGGUUGAACUGCUUCUAAUCUUGACUUGUCUUCUUAACUGAAGAUGAUCACUUUUUUAUG
rnacentral:misc_RNA from 1 species